AAGGAAUUCUACAGCAUCAUAGAACAGGAAAAGAAAAUACUGGAGAAAAAGCAGCAGCAGGGGGACGAUACAGACAAGGCAGAUACCGGCAAACAAUCACCAAUUGCAGAGGGGGAUGAAGAGGAGAAAACAAAUGGAAAUCCUGAAUCGGAGCAGAAAAAGGAUUAAUGAUGUAGAUUUUUGCCCUGAAACUUGUAUUGUGAUGCAGCUAAAAGCCAAAGCAAGGACUUUUGCCACCAUAUAAGAUGUAGCAAGGCUAUAUAUCAUCAUGUGUUUUGUUGUUUUUUUUCUUUGGCUGAGUAAGACAAGACUUCAUCCUGAUCAAUAUGAUAUUUGGUAGGCCUUCAUGAAACAAUAUUACUUGCGGAGACUUUAUUUAAAGAACACCAGAGUGCUUGCAGAGUGAUAACAUUUUUCACUCCCAGUGAUAAUGUACCAAAGUCAAACAGUGGUACAACACUGAAAUAAAAAUUGGUUAAUUUUUUUGUAAAUUUAUUUAUAACGAAGUGAAUUGUUGUGGAAAUAAAUCUAAUGACAGUUGUGAUUAAAUUAUUGAUAUAUUAUUUUAUCUAUAUACCAUCUUGUUACCAAUAAAAUAAUUUUAAAAACUGGU
rnacentral:misc_RNA from 1 species